rnacentral:rRNA from 1 species
AAAUUGAAGAGUUUGAUCAUGGCUCAGAUUGAACGCUGGCGGCAGGCCUAACACAUGCAAGUCGAGCGGUAGCACAGAGAGCUUGCUCUCGGGUGACGAGCGGCGGACGGGUGAGUAAUGUCUGGGAAACUGCCUGAUGGAGGGGGAUAACUACUGGAAACGGUAGCUAAUACCGCAUAACGUCGCAAGACCAAAGUGGGGGACCUUCGGGCCUCAUGCCAUCAGAUGUGACCCAGAUGGGAUUAGCUAGUAGGUGGGGUAACG